UACGUAGGGGGCAAGCGUUGUCCGGAUUUAUUGGGCGUAAAGAGCGUGUAGGCGCCAGGUAGGUCUGCUGUGAAAACUCGAGGCUCAACCUCGAGACGUCGGCGGAAACCAUCUGGCUAGAGUCCGGAAGAGGAGAGUGGGAAUUCCUGGUGUAGCGGUGAAAUGCGCAGAUAUCAGGAAGAACACCCGUGGCGAAGGCGCUCUCUGGGACGGUACUGACGCUGAGACGCGAAAGCGUGGGGAGCGAACAGG
rnacentral:rRNA from 1 species